rnacentral:rRNA from 1 species
UACGUAGGUGGCAAGCGUUAUCCGGAAUUAUUGGGCGUAAAGCGCGCGCAGGCGGUUUCUUAAGUCUGAUGUGAAAGCCCACGGCUCAACCGUGGAGGGUCAUUGGAAACUGGGGAAGCUUGAGUGCAGAAGAGAAAAGCGGAAUUCCACGUGUAGCGGUGAAAUGCGUAGAGAUGUGGAGGAACACCAGUGGCGAAGGCGGCUUUUGGUCUGUAACUGACGCUGGAGGCGCGAAAGCGUGGGGAGCAAACAGG